CCGCCCAACCGUCCUCUUCUCCUUCCUCCCGUGCGCCGCGACGACCCAACCAUCUUCUUCUCUUCCGUUCGCAGCAGCCGUCGGCCGCCGCGUCUCCCCUACUGAAGCCGAGCGCCGCGACCUCCAUUCCGUUCUCCAUCUGCGUUCGCGAAGCAGCCUUGCAGCAGCCGCCGCGUGACUAUCCGGUCCAGAUCUGCGGCGCCGUUGCUCUUCCGCCGCUGCCUAACCGUCUCCGCCGUCUCUAUCUCCGUCCGCGAGGCAAGUCGCACGCCUCAGUCACGAACAGCCUCGCCGACGCAGGUCACGCCGCAUCGCACGAGUUCGGCUACGUUGCCGGGCUACUCCCGUCCGCGCGUAACUGCUGUUGAACGUCCGAACCGUUCUGCCUUCGUAGAUACCCGCUGUCCCAUUUACGAAUCGCGGACCGGUUUGCGUGCAGAAGUGUUUUGCACGAUGUCUUUUGUGUAGAUCCUGCGACAACUUCUAUUUAACGUCGAUUGUCAAAGUCUUGUUACAAGAUAUUGGCGACAUCGGUGAUUUGGAGUUAGUGUCCUUCAGUUACGCCUUAAGCUUUGUUGGAGUUCGAUUCUUUACUCUUGGGGUUUGUUUGUUGAAGUUAGUUCGACCAAGAAAUUUUACAUAAAAUCGAGGCAAAGGUAAUAAAGGCGGCAAACAGGCGAGGGGAAGGAAGGAAGCGUGAUGCCAUAGGAAACGUGUUUUGCUUCCGCUUAUGGGUUCUUGUGAGGUUUAAAAUGAAUUGAAAUUUAGUUUACAAACGUUUGUUGUAAAUAGUAUUAUUUUAUGAUUUCCUGAAUGUUAAAAAAUCAGGCCUCACUUGAAGAUGUUUUUUUUUAAAUUGCUUACGUUUUGUUUAUAUUAAUCAAAGUCUUUAUUUGUUAAAAAUUAA